UACGUAGGGUGCAAGCGUUAAUCGGAAUUACUGGGCGUAAAGCGUGCGCAGGCGGUUGUGCAAGACAGAUGUGAAAUCCCCGGGCUUAACCUGGGAAUUGCAUUUGUGACUGCACGGCUAGAGUGUGUCAGAGGGGGGUAGAAUUCCACGUGUAGCAGUGAAAUGCGUAGAGAUUUGGAGGAAUACCGAUGGCGAAGGCAGCCCCCUGGGAUAGAACUGACGCUCAUGCACGAAAGCGUGGGUAGCAAACAGG
rnacentral:rRNA from 1 species